CCUACGGGAGGCUGCAGUGAGGAAUAUUGGUCAAUGGCCGGAAGGCUGAACCAGCCAUGCCGCGUGAAGGUCAGUGCCCUAUGGGCGUUAAACUUCUUUUGUGCGGGAGCAAUAAUGGUCACGUGUGGCCAGACGAGAGUACCGUACGAAUAAGCAUCGGCUAACUCCGUGCCAGCAGCCGCGGUAAUACGGGGGAUGCAAGCGUUAUCCGGAGUUAUUGGGUUUAAAGGGUGCGUAGGCUGUGAGGUAAGUCAGCGGUGAAAUGCCCCCGCUCAACGGGGUGAAGUGCCAUUGAUACUGCCUGGCUGGAAGGCGGAUGCCGUGGGAGGAAUGUGUGGUGUAGCGGUGAAAUGCAUAGAUAUCACACAGAACACCGAUUGCGAAGGCAUCUCACGAAUCCGCGAUUGACGCUGAUGCACGAAAGCGUGGGUAUCAAACAGGAUUAGAUACCCCAGUAGUC
rnacentral:rRNA from 1 species